rnacentral:rRNA from 1 species
GAACGCUAGCGGCAGGCUUAACACAUGCAAGUCGAGGGGUAGAAGCAGCUUGCUGCUUUGAGACCGGCGCACGGGUGCGUAACGCGUAUACAAUCUACCUUUUACAGAGGGAUAGCCCAGAGAAAUUUGGAUUAAUACCUCAUAGUAUUUUCGAAUCGCAUGAUUUGAUUAUUAAAGUUCCAACGGUAAAAGAUGAGUAUGCGUCCCAUUAGCUAGAUGGUAAGGUAACGGCUUACCAUGGCUACGAUGGGUAGGGGUCCUGAGAGGGAGAUCCCCCACACUGGUACUGAGACACGGACCAGACUCCUACGGGAGGCAGCAGUGAGGAAUAUUGGACAAUGGGCGCAAGCCUGAUCCAGCCAUGCCGCGUGCAGGAAGACGGUCCUAUGGAUUGUAAACUGCUUUUAUACAGGAAGAAACACCUCUACGUGUAGAGACUUGACGGUACUGUAUGAAUAAGCAUCGGCUAACUCCGUG